GGGUUUAGAUUAUUCCAUAAGAAAGAAAUUAGAUAUAUAAUAUCUAAGGGAUAUGACCCAACUAGCAGACAGAGUUCGACAAGUCGAACGGUUGAAGGCCGAGAAAGCUAGAGUGAACAAAAAUAAAAAAUAAAAAGUGGCUUAUGUCGACAUGGAAGACAAUGACCCUAGGUCAGAUGUCAAAUAUAAUCAUGUCAAAUAAAACAAGGUCGAUCUAGCCGAUUUGAAGCCAG
rnacentral:lncRNA from 1 species